rnacentral:rRNA from 1 species
CAGGCUUAACACAUGCAAGUCGAGGGGCAUCAGGAAGAAAGCUUGCUUUCUUUGCUGGCGACCGGCGCACGGGUGAGUAACACGUAUCCAACCUGCCCUUUACUCGGGGAUAGCCUUUCGAAAGAAAGAUUAAUACCCGAUAGCAUAAUGAUUCCGCAUGGUUUCAUUAUUAAAGGAUUCCGGUAAAGGAUGGGGAUGCGUUCCAUUAGGUUGUUGGUGAGGUAACGGCCCACCAAGCCUUCGAUGGAUAGGGGUUCUGAGAGGAAGGUCCCCCACAUUGGAACUGAGACACGGUCCAAACUCCUACGGGAGGCAGCAGUGAGGAAUAUUGGUCAAUGGGCGCUAGCCUGAACCAGCCAAGUAGCGUGAAGGAUGAAGGCUCUAUGGGUCGUAAACUUCUUUUAUAUAAGAAUAAAGUGCAGUAUGUAUACUGUUUUGUAUGUAUUAUAUGAAUAAGGAUCGGCUAACUCCGUGCCAGCAGCCGCGGUAAUACGGAGGAUCCGAGCGUUAUCCGGAUUUAUUGGGUUUAAAGGGAGCGUACGUGGACUGGUAAGUCAGUUGUGAAAGUUUGCGGCUCAACCGUAAAAUUGCAGUUGAUACUGUCAGUCUUGAGUACAGUAGAGGUGGGCGGAAUUCGUGGUGUAGCGGUGAAAUGCUUAGAUAUCACGAAGAACUCCGAUUGCGAAGGCAGCUCACUGGACUGCAACUGACACUGAUGCUCGAAAGUGUGGGUAUCAAACAGGAUUAGAUACCCUGGUAGUCCACACAGUAAACGAUGAAUACUCGCUGUUUGCGAUAUACAGUAAGCGGCCAAGCGAAAGCAUUAAGUAUUCCACCUGGGGAGUACGCCGGCAACGGUGAAACUCAAAGGAAUUGACGGGGGCCCGCACAAGCGGAGGAACAUGUGGUUUAAUUCGAUGAUACGCGAGGAACCUUACCCGGGCUUAAAUUGCAGUGGAAUGAUGUGGAAACAUGUCAGUGAGCAAUCACCGCUGUGAAGGUGCUGCAUGGUUGUCGUCAGCUCGUGCCGUGAGGUGUCGGCUUAAGUGCCAUAACGAGCGCAACCCUUAUCUUUAGUUACUAACAGGUUAUGCUGAGGACUCUAGAGAGACUGCCGUCGUAAGAUGUGAGGAAGGUGGGGAUGACGUCAAAUCAGCACGGCCCUUACGUCCGGGGCUACACACGUGUUACAAUGGGGGGUACAGAAGGCAGCUAGCGGGUGACCGUAUGCUAGUCCCAAAAUCCUCUCUCAGUUCGGAUCGAAGUCUGCAACCCGACUUCGUGAAGCUGGAUUCGCUAGUAAUCGCGCAUCAGCCACGGCGCGGUGAAUACGUUCCCGGGCCUUGUACACACCGCCCGUCAAGCCAUGGGAGCCGGGGGUACCUGAAGUACGUAACCGCAAGGAUCGUCCUAGGGUAAAACUGGUGACUGGG